rnacentral:misc_RNA from 1 species
AAGUCGUAACAAGGUUUCCGUAGGUAGGCGCAGUUUUGCCUACAAACAGUGGGCGCCUCAGGCGCUUGCUAGUCUCUUCGGAGGCGACACGCUCAACGUGCGGAAAAAUCCUCCCAGGAGGGAAAUCCGCAGCUCCUACCCGGAGUUCAGAGACUCAAUGAGUGUGGGCUCCCCUGGAGCUUGAGAUAGAGCCCGUCCCGGCAGGCAACUGCCCGGAGCUAACGGAACCUGCGGAAGGAUCAUUAAAGAAUACAAGGCUUUCGAGCCCUAUUCUCACCCUUUGUAUAUUAACUCUGUUGCUUUGGCGGGCCUCCGGCUUCGGCUGGGUCGUGUCUGUCAGAAGGCCUAACUCUUGAAUUUUUGCAGUCUGAGUACUAUCUAAUAGUUAAAA